CCGAUGGCUGCAGCGGGGCUGGCGCAGCUCCAGGUGGCGUUCGAGGACGUUGCUCUGUAUUUCACCCGGGAGGAGUGGGAGCUCUUAUCCCAGCCAGAGAAGCAGCUGUACCGGGACUAGAUGCUGCGGAAUUACCGGGGCAUCGUUUCCCUGGAUGGCUCUGCACCCCCAAAGGAUACCUGAAAGAAACUGGAACAAAGGACAGUAACCACA